CGAGGCGGCCGGAUGGUCGCGCGUCGCGUCCGACCUCGGUCGGGUCGCGGCUCGAGGAAAGUCCGAGCUCCUCAGCGCAGGGUAGCGGGUAACGCCCGUCCGCCGUGAGGCGAGGACCAGUGCCACAGUGACGAUGCCGACCGUUCGGGCUUGCCCGAGCGGACGGAGUGAAACGCGGCAAACUCUACCCGGAGCAAGGCCAAGUAGGAGGGUGCAACCCCGGUUCGCCGGGGGGAGAGGUGCGCUGCCCAACCCUCGGGUCGGCCGCAUGAGCCGUCGGGCGACCGGCGGCCUAGAUGGAUGGCCAUCCCCGGCGACCGCAAGGUCGACGGGCCAGAACUCGGCUUACAGGCCGCCUCGCUGG
rnacentral:RNase_P_RNA from 1 species